ACCAGACUCGUCUCAGGCCAGUUGCAGCCUUCUCAGCCAAACGCCGACCAAGAAAACUCACUACCAUGAGAAUUGCAGUGAUUUGCUUUUGCCUCCUAGGCAUCACCUGUGCCAUACCAUUAAACAGGCUGAUUCUGGAAGUUCUGAGGAAAAGCAGUUUACAACAAAUACCCAGAUGCUGUGGCCACAUGGCUAAACCCUGACCCAUCUCAGAAGCAGAAUCUCCUAGCCCCACAGAUGCUGUGUCCUCUGAAGAAACCAAUGACUUUAAACAAGAGGUAAGUUCUCAUUUUCAAUCAGAGGCC
rnacentral:lncRNA from 1 species